CUGUGUUUGUCCGUAAGCGCCGCCGCUGUCGUGAUUUCAAAGCCAGUGUGCAGUUUUCGGGCAUCGGUUAUCAUCGUACGUGCGGAAUCGGAAAAACGCCAGGAAAUAUUUGGAAAAAAUAUUUCUUAUCAAUUAAUCGCGAUUGUGAAAAGUGAUAUCGACGUAAAUCAAAACAUUCGAAUAUAAUUUAACCUUAUUUCAUUUUAACCGAUCUAUUUCACAAUUUGCGUUAAUGUUUUUUCUUUUUUCUAUUUUUUUUCUUUCUUUUUUUCAUUCUUUUCUUUUUUUAACAUGACAUAAAAUCUAAAAUAAGAUACAAGAGACAGUGAGAGUGAGUGAAAGGGUGAAAGAGAAAGAUAAAGAUAAAUUCUAGAAUAAUUUGUAACAUUUUUGUUUAUCAUAACAACGACAACAACAACUACUACUACUACUCUAAAACCGAUAUGUGUGAUUUUUAUAUUCAUUCAAAUCUUUCAAAGUUGUGAUAUCACUAUUGCACGAGUAUGCGUGCUGAUUGGUCGACGGUUUGAAUUGUAGUGUUCGUUAAACUUUACAUAUUACAUCAAAGAAGCGUAGAAGUGUUUCGUGAAAGUUCAUUGGUGAAACGAAAAAUAAGUUACGUUUUGCAUAACAAUAAAGGUCUGAACGAGUACACGAUAACAGCUCGUUAUCUAUCUCACCUUUUUCUCUAAUAACUUGAAAUUUUUUCGAUAAGUCCUUAUCAUCGUGUGAACAUCAAUUAUCUUUAUCGCUUCUUAUCGAUUAAACUAUCAGUAAUAACGAAUUUGAUCAAGAGUAUAACUUAAUGACAUUAACCGGCUUCUUUUGUGCGUGUGCUCUACAUUCGCUAGUUCAAGGUCUUUCGAUAUCUUGAAUCGAUUGAAUUGCAUGGGAAGGAAAGAGAGAGACAGAGAUAGAGAGGAGAGAUAUAUAACCACUGCAAGAUAACACGGACGCAGACGCGUCAAGUAUUCAGCAUCGAAAGAUAGAAAGAGAAAGAAAGAAAAAAAGAGAGAUAAAAAGUCUCGACUGUAGUCUCGAUGAGGAAACAAAAAAAAGGAAGACUGUGAUGACUUCGUCCUCUUUGUCGACCGCAAAUAGAUAUCCUAUUUUCAGCAUCUCUCUUUUGGUGUGAGCGUGUCAAAUUCAUGAAAAAAAAAAAAAAAAAAGAAGAAGAAAGCAAAAAAAAAACAUUAAUAUGCACAUAUUAUGAUCCAACAAUCGUCGAUCAUUAAAUAUUUUUCUUUGUUUGUUUCUCUUUUUCUUUUUUAUUUGUCCGAUCUAUCAUAACGAAAAUUGAUACUUAAUCUCAAGUUUUGUUCAGUUUCGUUUAUUUGAUCAUCUCUUAUAACAACCAAUAACAACAACAACACAACAUCAAAAGGGGAUAUAUAGAAUAUGUCUAUAAAUUCAUCGAAACGUACGGGGAAAGAUAACCUCACGAAACCGGCAAUACAGUCUCAACUUGCCAGAUUAAAAAGAGAGGAAGAAGAAGAAUUAUGGAUAUCAGGAGAAGAACUUUGUACGGAAGGAAGCAGCGAUGAGGAAGAUAGCAAAACAUGUUCUAGAUCAUUCUGUAGAACAAAUAAGAAUCAUGAUCCGCGUAAUUCGUCGGCCACUGGUAGACAUCAUUGGAUUGUAUCGGAUAAUACAAAAGAAAUGUCCGAACGAUCGAGUAGCAAUUCCGAAGGAAAUAUGUCUUCGAUAGAAAUAACAAAUUCUUUGAAAAUGGAUACAUCAAAUACACGAUCGAAUUCUUCGAUAGAUUUGGAAAUGAAUGACGUUUCAAUGGCGGACGAUACGUGUUCGGAUGUGAUACAAGAUGAGGAAGGACAAGGCCUUAAAGACUCUGAAAUAUCGUGGAAGGUUAACAGAGGUACCAUCAGGUUACUUAAUACAGGUGCUAACGCUGCUACUAUGGAACCCGAUAGACCGUAACAAUGGAUUUUUCAUCGGAGAUAGUAUUUCUUAGAAUUUAAUCUUGUCAACAAUCUUUUAUGUACUUUUCGUCAUCUUUUUGCGUUUUAAUUACGACGAUAUUCGUCGUUGUAGUUCUUUCGAAUGUAAUUCAAAUCUUUCCCACGAUAAAAUCGUGACGUAAUCGAAGACUGAUUUCUCUGAAUUUUGAUUGGACGGUUUAAGUUAGUAUGGCUCAAUCAAAAUACGUAAGAUCUUAAGUACGUCAUGAUUUCUGAUUUUUAUUAUAUUUGGCUUCGUAUCGUUUCUUAGUUUUUCUUUGUAAAUACAAAUGUUAGUUUUGAAUUUAUUACUGGUUCGAUAAUAGAUAGAUCGACGAAAGAAACCUGGCAAGAAGAUACAACUGAAUUGAAGGAAUUAACGCUAUUAGGUUAUCAGCGAGAAUUUGUCACGCGUUUACGAGGUCUUCAAAUUGAAGGUAAUGAAAAUUAUGAAGAAUUUAUUAUGAAUGUCUUUUGAAAUUCUGACGUUUCAUUGCAAGAUAAUCAUGAAAAUAACGGUAACACAUAUCUGAGAAAUGAUCUUAAUAAAUGCGAAUUGAAAAACUUAAGUACGAUGAACGAGGAGUUGGAAAAACAAAUAUCGAAGGUAAAGAGUUUGGAUACUGCUAUCAAAAAAUUUGAUAAUAAUGUAGAGGUAAAUAUAUUCUGCAAGUUCGAAUAUAUAUAUAUUAAAUGACGAUCGUGUCUAAUUUAUUCACUUUAAUAAGUAAAUCGUAGAGAAAACAAAGUAUAUUUAAGAUGAUUCUUAACACAGGAAGAGAUGAAAGAAACUUUGUUAUGUCAAUAUAAAAAUCGUGAAAAAUUGAAAGAGAUAUUAGAGAAUGUACCGCUUGAAACUGGAAAAUUAGCUGAAAAUACACAACAAUUUUUUAAUUUAUACAAUGAAUGUACUGAUAUAUCUGGUAAUAAAUGAAUGAAUAUUUAUAUAUAAUAAUAUAUUAUAAUUAAUAUCUCUUUCUUUUUUUCUUAUUUAUGAAUAAGCACUUAAGGAUGUACAUGGAAAAAUUAAGCAAUACAAUACGCAUAACAUUGAAAUUUCGCAUAAUCAACAAAUGUUAAUAAAAGAAGAAGUAAAUACAAUAAAAAAUAUACAUGAACAAUUAUUAGAAACAAAGAAGAAAGGAUGUAAAUUUAAUAAGAAGGAUAAGACAGUAUAUCUUAUUUAUUUCUUUAUGAAUUUUUAUUUUGACAGGAAUUUAAUAAAAAUAUUGAUAUUAACAGUUAGCCACAUAUCAGUCAAAAAUGUUUCCUAAUACUACUAAUAAAAAACAAAGAAUGGCAAUAUUAUUUGGAGAUAUGAUUGAUGGUAAUAAGGACAUUGUCCAUUCUAGUAAUAAUCCUUACUGUGUUAAUGAUGAAGAAAGAAAAUUAUUACGUGAAUUAAGCGAAAAAAUUUCAGUGAGUGAUUCAAAUAUUUUAAUAUAAUUUAAAAUAUCGUUAAUAUUAUGUAAAAUGAUAGAUACUACAAAGUGGUAAAAAUUGUAAAAAGUCUGGAAUACAAAAGGAUAAGCAAUUAUCAUUAAAUAUAUGUAAUACGCAUUCAAUAAGCACAUCAGAUAACACAAUAAGUACAACAAUAAGUACUUUGCAAAAUGUAGAUGAAGAAAUUCUAUUGGAAUUAUUAGAAGAUUCAAAAAUAAUGAUGGCUUCAUCUGCUGAGGAAAAAUUACAAAAUUGGAAUUGAGGUUAAAUAAAUAAUAUUUUAUCUUACAAAGUUAUAAUUAAUUUGUCAGUAUAAAAACACAUUUAUACUACAUUUGAAUAUAAACAACUUGAAUACUUUGUCAUUAUCUAAUUUAUCUAAUUUAGAUAAAGGUAAAUUAAAUCAUAUGUUUUAAAUAUUAUAUAUCAAAAGCAACUACUUACAAAAUAUUUUAAUCUAUAAUAUUAUUAAUUUAAUAUUUAUGAAUUAUUAAACAAUAUUUUCUUGAUUUUUGCUUCUUCUAUAUAAUUUAAAAUACAUUAUUUUAUUAAAUCUUUCUUUUUAUUUUUAUCUGAAACUGUAUACUUGUCAUAACUUUUUGUUGGAUCAAAAGGUUCCCAUCUACUGGCAGGAAAUAUGUGUUUAUUUCUUUCAUACCAUGAUCUAAAAUAUACAUAUAUAAUCAUUAUUUCUAUACUCAUAAUAUUUAGUUUAUUAUAAAUAUACUAAAGAUAGAAAAAUUAUACCUUAAUAAGACUUUGCCCGCAUGCGAUUCUUCCGUUUCAACAGAAGCAUCGUGCAUAACUCGAAUAUCAUCAUGAACAUCAAAUGUAAAAAGUGGUCCACUCUUCCCUCUUGCCUGAAAUAAGUAUAAAUAUAUAAUAUGUAUGUCAGUGCUUUCAUUCAUAUUCUCAUAUCUACAAACACACUAUGUUAGUUAAAAAUAUUUUUAUUAUUUAUAAAUAAUACCUUGGUGACAAUGAAGUCAUAGAAAGUAUAGUGAUGUGGCAAGAUAAGAUCUUCUUUGACAUACAUUAAUUGAUCUGCCAUUACAGUUUUAAGUUCACUAAAUUCUCGUCUUAAAACUUCCAAACAUCUUUGAAGGAGUUGAUAAAUUGAAUUACCUGUAAAUAGUAUAAACUAGUAUCAAUUAAUAUAGAUUUUUAUUGAAUUUAUAAAUAUACAGAAACAACAACAUUACACAA